CUCUGUUUAUAGGGCGGGGGUGGGGGGUGAAGAAAAAUGAGCUCCAGUUUUUCAGUUUGUGGAUGACUUCUGUAUUUUCAUCUUUCUGUCAUUCUCUCUGAGUGGACUUCAAGCAAAGAAUAGGUAUGUUUAUACAAACUUAAAGGCUCUUUCUAUCAGUCAAGUGACACUUCUGGAACCAGUGAAACCUGGAAAGAAAUGUAAGACUACCUAAAAGCCUGACAAUUGAUAGCAGAACCUUUGGGCUUGAACCUGGUCCCAACCGCAUCAGUAGCAGAACUCCCAUUGAAGUCAGGAUUUGGCCAUCAGACUUUGAAGAUUCCCAAAACUGACGGUGGGAAGCCAACACAAAUUUAUCUUCCUGAAGAUCCAUUCGACCCAAGUCCAUAAAACGAUCACCUGCAAACUCAGUCAUGUGAUGCAUGGAGAGGGCAUGAAGCAGAAAGCAGCGUGCGCACUAAAACACACAAUUGUAUGUAUGUACAGAUCAAAAGAAGAAAACACGCUACCGCUUAAGAAAAACAGGAGUGAAAGCAAUAUACGACUGAGCGUGCUGGACCGUAAACGAAAGAUGGUGGCCUUCCGGCUAUUACCAGCCCAGGGGGAUGCUAUACAUGACGUCACUCCUAGGACAAGACCCGUAUGAGCAUGAGCUUGGCAGGAUGGCUUCACGACAAUGCCGUCUCCGACCUCACAUUUUUCCCAAUUUUUUAUCAGCAAGGAGAUUGAUUGUUUAUUUAUUUAAAUAAAUUAUGAAGGCAUGGUCGUCACAAUUUUACCAGUAGCAGCUGGCCAAGAAAAUGCUGCCUUAGGAGACUGAUAGCAGACUUACUUUUAGAAAUACUAAUUUUACAAGUGUAAUUAUUUUUUUUUCCCCUCACUCCUGACCUCCCACCUAUCAAUAAUGAACAAUUAGUGAUGGGUCAGGGUAGGGUAUGAGUAUUUGUGUAGCCAGAUGUGUAUAUUAUUUUUGUCAUAUUUGAAUGAAAAUGUCUGUAUUUGGAGAGAAUCUUCUUUUUCCCAUAUCUUCUUUAUUUAUCAACUGAUUUUGAUAAAAUUUGAAAUGGAGUCAGUUUUUUCUUUUUUGAAGGCCUCAUGUUGCGAGGCCCUAAACUGUAGCUUAGUUGACCGGUGCUGGAUUAAGCCAUAAAAUAUUCUCUUAACAAAGAGCUUGGUUAGUUUUAGGAAGAUGGACUCUUCUCAUGUAUUUACCCAGCAUGUGGUGCACGAAACACCCUGUCUGCACCAAGCCGACCUCAGUUUCAGGUGAGAACCUGCCCCAUGGUAUCAUGGGGAAAGGGCAAGUCAAACUUUUGAGCUAAAUUGAGCCUCAUAGCUGCAUGCCUUUGGAGGUGGGGGGGGAAUUCUAAGCCACACUGUUUCAGGGGCCCAGCGGGGUCGUGCUAGUUGCAGGCCCUUAGGGGAACGAAUGCUGCCUCCUCAGUAUCCAGUAAUACACCGUGAUGGCUUGGGGGUUAGCGGCGGUGACUUGUACCCUCCUAUGACUCUUUUGCCCAUCAGUGAAGUAGGUGAAAGUAGUUCUUGCAUUUACGGAGCAGCCUAGGGGAAUUUGAUAGGGGCCCGGUUAGUGAACUGGAAUUUUGAUUCAGCGUGUUUUGAUCUGAA